rnacentral:tRNA from 1 species
GUUUUUAUAGUUGAAUAACAACGAUGAUUUUUCAGGUCAUUGGUCUUGGUUAAAACCCAGGUAGGAACU